CACACCUUUGACCGAGGCGCGCCUGCAGGAGACUUUCAGACACAGACAGCAGUACCCAGUACUCCCUGUACUCCUGGCACCACUGGUACUCCUGAUACCACUGGUACUCGUGGUACCCCCGGUACCCCUGGUACUCCCGGUAGUCUGUAUUUUAUUAUGGGCUCAACUAUUGGCUUUGCUGCUUUGGUGUCUAUUCCUGCUGUUGUCUUUGUUGUGUAGAAAUGGAGAAAAAAGAAAUUCAAAAACAAGAGGAGGAGCCACGAGGAUGGACCUGAACAGACCGAUGAAGAAAAGGCAGUCACAUCUAAGAGUGAUAACACAGGAUUCCAGGUCGUGAUGGAAGGAGAAGGAGAAGGUGUACCGCUUAUGGCAGGAAGACAGGAAGAGACUACUGUGGACAAUGGAGGAGAAGAUCGAAUCUCAAAGUGAACGAAAAGAUCCCCAGUUUGUGGCUAAAAGAGAAACACACCAAGAACAAAAACCAGAGAGCACUGGGCGUUCACUGGGGCGAAAUCACUGUUAUUUAUUUCUAGAAAUAAGUUGUGUAUUCCCAUUCACUUUAAAACAUUUGGGGUAUUUUUUUAAAGUAAACUCACUAGAGCACAAAAUGUGGAUUAAUCCACUGCUGAAAAUCGUCCCCAACAAGUGACUAAUGUUUGAUUUAAACUACAGUGCUGUUUUAGGAAAUUACUGAGCCUAUAUAAAAAUGAAAUAACACCAAACUAAUGAGUUGGUGGCCUCUUGUGCUAAUGACUGCUUGUAUGUUUAAUGUUGUGUUGUCCUAGCAGGUGACAGUCAACCCAAUGAUUGUGACCAAUCAAUUCAGCUUCUCCUCACAGAUGAAAGAUUUUAUAUUGUUUUAUUAAAUAACAUUUUUUAACAUACUUAUUAUUCAGAUUUGUGAAUAUGAGGAUGACAAUUAAAAUUCAUGCAAUUCAGUCAUAAUCUGGUUGCACUCUUCUGUAACAUCACUCGGUUCUGGCUGGUUGAUAUCACAGUUAAGAAAUCUUUUUUUGUCUUCACUACACAUUUAAUGAAAUAGGUUAAAAGUUGUCAGAAUUUAAAGAUAGGAUCAAAUUCAUGGACAAGUCUUCACCUGAAUUUUUGAUUUUCAACCCUUUCACCUUAAACCUUCAGAGUAAAAUGCCACCCAUCUUUAAGGUUCAAUGUAACUCGUUACCACCCACCUCUGCAUAUGAAAUGCAGUGGUGGAAGAAGUAUUGAGAUAAUUAUUAAAAUUAUUAUUAUUAUUAGAGAAAAUUAUUAUUCUGUGAUCCUUAGAAAGUGGUUUGUCAGCUCUGUGAGAUAAGAGAUUAAGAUCAGAAAAUAAUAAGUUUUCUCCAGAUGUGUUCUGAAAACAUUAUAACAGACAAUGACAAAAAAGAAUCAAAAGGAGAAAAAAACUAAUAUAAAGGCUGAAAGCUUUAUAACUGAAGGUGAAGAUCAGGGAGGCCAAGGAGAAGUACAGGAGGAAGCUGGA